rnacentral:rRNA from 1 species
UACAGGGGGUGCAAACGUUGCUCGGAAUCAUUGGGCGUAAAGCGCACGUAGGCGGUUCGUUAUGUCGGAUGUGAAAGCCCUUGGCUUAACCGAGGAAGUGCAUCCGAAACUGGCGAGCUAGAGUACGAAAGAGGAUCGCGGAAUUCCCGGUGUAGAGGUGAAAUUCGUAGAUAUUGGGAGGAACACCGGUGGCGAAGGCGGCGAUCUGGGUCGAUACUGACGCUGAGGUGCGAAAGCGUGGGGAGCAAACAGG